rnacentral:rRNA from 1 species
AGCUCCAGUAGCGUAUAUUAAAGUUGUUGCAGCUAAAAAGCUCGUAGUUGGAUCUCGGGUCGUUGGUAGGGGUUCAGGUUCAUGCCUGCUUACUCCUGUCAAUACCUAACUGGUGGGACGCUGUGGGUGCCCUUGAUUGGGUCGCCUACUGCACCCGCUCAAUUUACUUUGAAAAAAUUAGAGUGUUCAAGGCAGGCUCACACGCCUGUAUAAUGGUGCAUGGAAUAAUGGAAUAGGAUCUCGGUUCUAUUUUGUUGGUUUUCGGAACUAGAGAUAAUGAUUAAGAGGGACAGACGGGGGCAUUCGUAUUGCGGUGUUAGAGGUGAAAUUCUUGGAUCGCCGCAAGACGAACUACUGCGAAAGCAUUUGCCAAGAAUGUUUUCAUUAAUCAAGAACGAAA